UACGGAGGGUGCGAGCGUUGUCCGGAUUUAUUGGGUUUAAAGGGUGCGUAGGUGGGGCGAUAAGUCAGUGGUGAAAUCCUGCGGCUUAACCGUAGAAUUGCCAUUGAUACUGUCGCUCUUGAGUACGCUUGACGUGGGCGGAAUGUGCCGUGUAGCGGUGAAAUGCUUAGAUAUGGCACAGAACACCGAUAGUGAAGACAGCUCACGAAGGCGAAACUGACACUGAGGCACGAAAGCGUGGGGAAUCGAACAGG
rnacentral:rRNA from 1 species